GACGAACGCUGGCGGCGUGCUUAACACAUGCAAGUCGAACGGAAAGGCCCUGCUUUUGUGGGGUGCUCGAGUGGCGAACGGGUGAGUAACACGUGAGUAACCUGCCCUUGACUUUGGGAUAACUUCAGGAAACUGGGGCUAAUACCGGAUAGGAGCUCCUGCUGCACGGUGGGGGUUGGAAAGUUUCGGCGGUUGGGGAUGGACUCGCGGCUUAUCAGCUUGUUGGUGGGGUAGUGGCUUACCAAGGCUUUGACGGGUAGCCGGCCUGAGAGGGUGACCGGCCACAUUGGGACUGAGAUACGGCCCAGACUCCUACGGGAGGCAGCAGUGGGGAAUAUUGCACAAUGGGCGGAAGCCUGAUGCAGCAACGCCGCGUGCGGGAUGACGGCCUUCGGGUUGCAAACCGCUUUCGCCUGUGACGAAGCGUGAGUGACGGCAAUGGGUAAAGAAGCACCGGCUAACUACGUG
rnacentral:rRNA from 1 species